UUGCCCAGCUGUGUCCGAUUUAUUUUCGCCCAGUCGCGUCUAUUUCAGUCCAUGUCUUGCCUUAGUUUUUGUCCGUCAUCGAUGUUAGAUGUCUGUAUCGUCCACCUAUCCUGCCUGUAGCUUCUUUCCCCUAAUAAAUCCCCAGUUUUUCCCGAAUUUUGCCUGCUUCCUGCCCGUUUGCCUGCCCCUUCGCAUUACCCGCUAACCCCGCGAUCCUGACAGUGUUUACCACCAGGGGGCAUGAUGAGGAGAUCCUUCCAGAUACAUCAUCCGGAAUAAGAAGAACAGAGGAUGCUGGAGAAAGAUGGAAAUAUUGGGUGUCUAGUUUGGAAAGCUUCACAGCUUCCAUGAAGGAAGACAGAUUGAAAUAGUUCUCAGAUUUGUUUACUAAUUGCCAUUCAGUAAUUUUCCAAACUAAACCAGUGGUCCUGAGCAUUCAAGGCAGGCAUAGAUAUGGUCAGGUCAAAGUAGGAGCUAAUCGAUAGGCUUGUGGUGAGUCUUGAAGAACAAGGCAGUAAGGUGACACAGAUGACUGAGAGGCUGAGACUAUCCUUCUGCACCCAUGGUCAUGUGAGGGAACUGGCUAAGCGGCUUUUCCAAGGCAGGAGCGAUGGGACACCGCAGAGCAUCCUGCGGCUUUCCAGAGGAGCUGCUUCUGUGUCAGGCUGCAGCUCAGCAUACAUUUACACACAGACACACAGAGGUCAGCUCUGCAUUCACCCCUGCAUAGGUAGCGCCCCCCCCACCUGAAUACAGCCAUAUUCACCAGAGCACAUAUAAAUAUAAAAAAUAUAAACACACCUUUAAAAAGAACAUUCAGCGCUAAUGUGGAUACGCCUGCAUGAAGCUGGUAGCAUUUUUUGCACUUAAAGUAAAUACUUGAACCGAGUUAUAUGAUCAAAGGCUGCAGAUUUGAAUCCCCAACUCAGCAGAAUACUCACAUUGCUGGGACCUUGAGCAAGGCCCUAACCCCCCACCCGCACAUGGACAACCAGGUUUCACUCUUAACUGAAAGUGAAAUCUGUGUAUGUCUCAGCAGUAGGGCACGAUGGGGAAGUGCACGAGGGGAUAGGAGAAAAGAAAUCUUCCGAUAUACCUGUACAUGUGCAAACGAAGCAUCGUUUCACUUUUGUUUCGAUCCAGUCUUUAAAAAAAUCAAGCUAUUUGCUAACUGGAAAGAUUAUGGUUAUUAGUCAUGUUGGGGUGAUGGGAAAAAAUAAUAUAUUGCAGUAUGAUUGAUUAUUUAUGUUUAUCUCAAGUUCACCAUGUGCCAUUCAAUGCACAUAAAAAAAACUGUUAUGCAUCCGGGGAAUGCCGUCAGCAAACUUUAAGAUGGAAAAUUGUGUUUAAGUUUUUUUUUAGCCACAUGCCUAUGAUAUAUUUGGGUUGUAUCCAGGUGACCUAAAUAGUUAAAAAUAAUAGACAUCUGGAAUUAAAUAAUUAAGUAACUUAGUCUGUGUACAAAAUAGGUGUUAUUCCUAGCAUUUGAUGUCAUGACCUUUCAGCCACAGAUGCUUAUCUUACUCAUCUCUACUUGAUGACUUCCUAAUUUCACCCAAUUCCAAAUAAGACAGAGGUCACUGUUUUCCACUUGUGCAUUCACUGGGACCCAUAUAAAAAUAAACGUGAAAACUGACCUGCACAAGCCCAGUUAAUUCAUAAACAAGAUUGUCUAUAAUAAGUGAGCUUGCCCUUCAUUCUGAAUUUUCCAGGCUGAAAAUUCUCCUCCCCCAGGAAAAAUGGGCUUUGUAAGCUUCACCGCAACUUGACUAAUAACCGAACAGCUGGAAGAGGACCAAUACCCUUUCCAGGAUUACAAAAGAACUUUGGAUUCUUUUUGAAGAUUGAAACAAAGCAGUGGAUUGCAGAGUUGUCUCACACCACUGGAGACCAAGAUUCCAGUUUCCACUGCAUCUCCACACGUGUGGAUAUUUUCCCCGGGUCAUUGCGGGGUUUAGGUGUGAACGUUCUGUGUGUCUCUCUUUCUGGGUUAAUCCCUGGCUUGCACCCAUAGCUUCUGGGAUUGGCUCCAGACUCCUGCAGGCCUGCAUCAGACAAACGGGUAUGAAGAAUGGAUGGGGUGACCGGAAAAUUUCACAUGGCAACCCAGUCAGUGUAACUCGAAUCUAACUUAAGAAGCAAACAAGUCACACAGACCCAGCCAACUGUGCCCUAAGUAAUAAAAGGAAGCAGAAGCGGAACAUUUGUGUCCAAUUCCUCAUUGAACAUCAAGAUACAACAUAAACAGAUAAUACACCAUGUGGCCAAAAAAGGUCACUGUUUGAAUUUAAAUCGUGAAGUAAUUAAGAGCCAAUGAAUGGGUCAUUAUUACAGCUCAGCAAUAUUAUGCAGCAAUGAAGUGAAGUCAGCCGAGCACCGGCAUCUCCGGAACGGCCAGGUUAUCCCAUCACUGGCUUUUCUUCCCCCGAUCGCAUGGGCAUAUUCCGGGAGGAUGAUGCCAAGAUUCAUCGGGCUCGAAUUGUCAGAGUGGUUCAGGAAGCGCAAGGAAUCGUUUCCACGCAUGAUCUGACCACCACGGAGUCUUGACCUUAUCACCAUUGAAAGUCUUUGAGAUGUGAUGAAGACCUUAUGGGUUUAAGUGAACGCAAAUCUGAAUGAAAAACAAUUGAGAUGUUGUAUAAGCACGUGGAAACAACGCAUCCAUCCUGGAUCAGCGAUAAAGGUUAUUAUAGUGUUCUGUUACUGUACCUAUUAAUUAGUGUGAGACCACUGCUUCACUGUUAUGAAUGCACAGUAAGAGAGCUGGCACUGGAAUUUUAUCAUACCUUAAACAUUUUAAUGGCAAAUAAGCUUUG